AAGUACUUAAGCAAAUCAAAACUUAUCCAAACAGGACAAGACCAACAGGUCACACACUGGAAAAUAACAAUAUAUGUAACACCUACACAAUAAGUUGUUUUUCCUAACCAUUUACAGGACAGAAAGCCAUUAGAAAAUGAGGUUCAAAGUUAAUGAAAACAACUUUGAAAGGUACUUGUCAUAAAUGUAUUUUUCUUUUAAAAUGUGGGAAAAUGUUACUGGAUAGCUCCCAUUUAUGAUUACUGUAGCAUAAUUCUUUUUCCUGUCACAUUUUGUUGACCACGGGGGCAUCAACAGUAUUAGAAAAGGUGCAUCACUGCCAGCCAUCCUGUCAAGACAUUCAGUAGUCUUCUCCGCCAUUGUAACCACAAGAUAUGCCCUGAGGACUGCAGAGACCUU